rnacentral:rRNA from 1 species
AUUGAACGCUGGCGGCAUGCCUUACACAUGCAAGUCGAACGGUAACGCGGGGCAACCUGGCGACGAGUGGCGAACGGGUGAGUAAUGCAUCGGAACGCGCCCAGUAGUGGGGGAUAGCCCGGCGAAAGCCGGAUUAAUACCGCAUACGACCUACGGGUGAAAGCGGGGGAUCGCAAGACCUCGCGCUAUUGGAGCGGCCGAUGUCAGAUUAGGUAGUUGGUGGGGUAAAGGCCUACCAAGCCUUCGAUCUGUAGCUGGUCUGAGAGGACGACCAGCCACACUGGGACUGAGACACGGCCCAGACUCCUACGGGAGGCAGCAGUGGGGAAGUUUGGACAAUGGGCGCAAGCCUGAUCCAGCCAUGCCGCGUGCGGGAAGAAGGCCUUCGGGUUGUAAACCGCUUUUGUCAGGGAAGAAACGCUCUGGGCUAAUACCCCGGGGUAAUGACGGUACCUGAAGAAUAAGCACCGGCUAACUACGUGCCAGCAGCCGCAGUAAAAC